UCUCCAGACUCCUACGGGAGGCAGCAGUGGGGAAUAUUGCACAAUGGGGGAAACCCUGAUGCAGCGACGCCGCGUGAGUGAAGAAGUAUUUCGGUAUGUAAAGCUCUAUCAGCAGGGAAGAAAAUGACGGUACCUGAGUAAGAAGCCCCGGCUAACUACGUGCCAGCAGCCGCGGUAAUACGUAGGGGGCAAGCGUUAUCCGGAUUUACUGGGUGUAAAGGGAGCGUAGACGGCAGUGCAAGUCUGGAGUGAAAGGCGGGGGCUCAACCCCCGGACUGCUCUGGAAACUGUACGGCUGGAGUGCAGGAGGGGCAGGCGGAAUUCCUGGUGUAGCGGUGAAAUGCGUAGAUAUCAGGAGGAACACCGGUGGCGAAGGCGGCCUGCUGGACUGCAACUGACGUUGAGGCCCGAAAGCGUGGGGAGCAAACAGGAUUAGAUACCCGCGUA
rnacentral:rRNA from 1 species